UCAGGUGUCCUUAUAAGAAGAGAUUAGGACACAGACAUGCAUGCCCACGGAGAGGAGACCAUGUGAAGACACAGUCAGGAUGAGACCAGCUACAGACCACAGAGGGAGGCCUUGGAAGAAGUCAAUCCUGCCGACACAUUGAUCCAGGACUUCUUGCCUCCAGAGCGUGUCGUAACCAGACUGCAGCUGACCCAGUACGCUACCAUCCCUUGGAACUCCACGACUGCAGUGAGCUCCUGCCGACUUCCGGGUUUCUGACUGCUGGACGCUGCAUCUACCAAGCGAUGGGGGGAAACAGAUGAAGCACCCACUCCUGAAUCCCCAGCCAAUGCCUGUGUAAAUACUCCCAUCAUGGCCAAUGUCAAGCUCCAACAGCACAUCACUGAACUUUGAGUUGGAAAGAAAUAUGCACACUAGGCUUUUGUGAGCUGUCUCAAGCUGGCUUCAUCACAUUAGCAGGAAAGAAUGAAUUAUGGGAAUAAUCAGCUAGAAGAGCAUGUCUUUCUUCUGUGGUUGCAAUAACAAGAAGUAGGAGGGGGAGAAGGAAAAGGAGAAAGAGGAAGAAGGAGAGGAGGAGGAAGAAGAGGAGGAGAAGAAAAAGUGCCACUGCCAACCUAGUGAAUCCGAUAAAAGAGAAACUUCUGAUAGAUUGACAUGAAAGAAAGCUGUCAUUUAGGAUCAAUAUCCUAAGUGUUUAUUUAAAUGCUUUAUGGAUGAGCUGUUGAGUCUUCUGCUCUUCUGGUGAAAGAAUUAAAAUCUAGCAAUGUUUCCAGACUCCUUUUUGACUUGACUCUGA
rnacentral:lncRNA from 1 species